AGAGUUUGAUUAUGGCUCAGAACGUACGCUGGCGGCACGCCUAACACAUGCAAGUCGAACGAAGUAGCAAUACUUAGUGGCAGACGGGUGAGUAACAUGUAGGUAUCUACCCUUUGGCCUGGAAUAACACGAGGAAACUUGUGCUAAUACCGGAUAAGUCUUUACGGAGAAAGCUUUAUGCACCAUUGGAUGAGCCUGCACUUGAUUAGUUUGUUGGUAGGGUAAUGGCCUACCAAGACUGUGAUCAAUAGCUGAUUUGAGAGGAUGAUCAGCCACAUUGGGACUGAGACACGGCCCAAACUCCUACGGGAGGCAGCAGUGGGGAAUCUUGCACAAUGGAGGAAACUCUGAUGCAGCGAUGCCGCGUGAGUGAAGAAGGCCCUUGGGUUGUAAAGCUCUUUCGUCGGGGAAGAAAAUGACUGUACCCGAAUAAGAAGGUCCGGCUAACUUCGUGCCAGCAGCCGCGGUAAUACGAAGGGACCUAGCGUAGUUCGGAAUUACUGGGCUUAAAGAGUUCGUAGGUGGUUGAAAAAGUUGGUGGUGAAAUCCCAGAGCUUAACUCUGGAACUGCCAUCAAAACUUUUCAGCUAGAGUUUGAUAGAGGAAAGCAGAAUUUCUAGUGUAGAGGUGAAAUUCGUAGAUAUUAGAAAGAAUACCAAUUGCGAAGGCAGCUUUCUGGAUCAUUACUGACACUGAGGAACGAAAGCAUGGGUAGCGAAGAGGAUUAGAUACCCUCGUAGUCCAUGCCGUAAACGAUGUGUGUUAGACGUUGGAAAUUUAUUUUCAGUGUCGCAGCGAAAGCAAUAAACACACCGCCUGGGGAGUACGACCGCAAGGUUAAAACUCAAAUGAAUUGACGGGGACCCGCACAAGUAGUGGAGCAUGUGGUUUAAUUCGAAGAUACGCGCAGAACCUUACCAACACUUGACAUGUUCGUCGCGACUUUAAGAGAUUAAAGUUUUCGGUUCGGCCGGACGAAACACAGGUGCUGCAUGGCUGUCGUCAGCUCGUGUCGUGAGAUGUUGGGUUAAGUCCCGCAACGAGCGCAACCCUCACUUUUAGUUGCCAUCAUUUAGUUGGGCACUCUGAAAGAACUGCCAGUGAUAAGCUGGAGGAAGGUGGGGAUGACGUCAAGUCCUCAUGGCCCUUACGUGUUGGGCUACACACGUGCUACAAUGGUAUUUACAACAGGAAGCAAGACGGCGACGUUUAGCAAAUCCUUAAAAAAUACCUCAGUUCGGAUUGCACUCUGCAACUCGAGUGCAUGAAGCUGGAAUUACUAGUAAUCGUGGAUCAGCGUGCCACGGUGAAUGCGUUCCCGGGUCUUGUACACACCGCCCGUCACACCAUGGGAGUUGGUUCUACCUUAAGGCAAGGUUUAAAACCCUUGACCACGGUAUAGUCAGCGACUGGGGUGAAGUCGUAACAAGGUA
rnacentral:rRNA from 1 species